GACGAACGCUGGCGGCGUGCCUAAUACAUGCAAGUCGAGCGGACCGGAUUGGGGCUUGCCUUGAUUCGGUCAGCGGCGGACGGGUGAGUAACACGUGGGCAACCUGCCCGCAAGACCGGGAUAACUCCGGGAAACCGGAGCUAAUACCGGAUAACACCGAAGACCGCAUGGUCUUCGGUUGAAAGGCGGCCUUUGGGCUGUCACUUGCGGGUGGGCCCGCGGCGCAUUAGCUAGUUGGUGAGGUAACGGCUCACCAAGGCGACGAUGCGUAGCCGGCCUGAGAGGGUGACCGGCCACACUGGGACUGAGACACGGCCCAGACUCCUACGGGAGGCAGCAGUAGGGAAUCUUCCGCAAUGGGCGAAAGCCUGACGGAGCGACGCCGCGUGAGCGAAGAAGGCCUUCGGGUCGUAAAGCUCUGUUGUGAGGGACGAAGGAGCGCCGUUCGAAGAGGGCGGCGCGGUGACGGUACCUCACGAGAAAGCCCCGGCUAUCUACGUGCCAGCCGCCGCCGUAA
rnacentral:rRNA from 1 species